rnacentral:rRNA from 1 species
GUAAGCUACUAAGAGCGAAUGGUGGAUGCCUUGACUGGUAAAGGCGAUGAAGGACGUACUAGACU